AACAGUCCACCAAUAGAUUCUAAAUCAUCGAAGGAUUAAUUGCCUCCUGAACUUCACCUAGAAAACCCACACAAUUAAAAAUGAGAUUCAUAACAAACUAAUACGUUAAUUUCGUGCAAGAAACUUACUUAACCUUAUUAUUGGAAACAACGAUACUUACGCCAAGAUUUGCUUACAGUCAAUCUCUUUUAAUAUCGCACAACCAAUCGCACCCAGAAC
rnacentral:lncRNA from 1 species